AGAGUUUGAUCCUGGCUCAGGACGAACGCUGGCGGCGUGCCUAACACAUGCAAGUCGAGCGAGUGAAUCUCCUUCGGGAGUGAAGCUAGCGGCGGACGGGUGAGUAACACGUGGGCAACCUGCCUCAUAGAGGGGAAUAGCCUUUCGAAAGGAAGAUUAAUACCGCAUAAGAUUGUAGCUUCGCAUGAAGUAGCAAUUAAAGGAGCAAUCCGCUAUGAGAUGGGCCCGCGGCGCAUUAGCUAGUUGGUGAGGUAACGGCUCACCAAGGCGACGAUGCGUAGCCGACCUGAGAGGGGGAUCGGCCACAUUGGGACUGAGACACGGCCCAGACUCCUACGGGAGGCAGCAGUGGGGAAUAUUGCACAAUGGGGGAAACCCUGAUGCAGCAACGCCGCGUGAGUGGUGACGGCCUUCGGGUUGUAAAGCUCUGUCUUCAGGGACGAUAAUGACGGUACCUGAGGAGGAAGCCACGGCUAACUACGUGCCAGCCGCCGCGGUAAUAC
rnacentral:rRNA from 1 species